rnacentral:rRNA from 1 species
CCUACGGGGGGCUGCAGUGGGGAAUAUUGGACAAUGGGCGAAAGCCUGAUCCAGCCAUGCCGCGUGUGUGAAGAAGGCCUUCGGGUUGUAAAGCACUUUCAGUGGGGAAGAAAGCCUUGGGGCUAAUACCCUCGAGGAAGGACAUCACCCACAGAAGAAGCACCGGCUAACUCCGUGCCAGCAGCCGCGGUAAUACGGAGGGUGCGAGCGUUAAUCGGAAUUACUGGGCGUAAAGCGCGCGUAGGCGGUCUGAUAAGCCGGUUGUGAAAGCCCCGGGCUCAACCUGGGAACGGCAUCCGGAACUGUCAGGCUAGAGUGCAGGAGAGGAAGGGAGAAUUCCCGGUGUAGCGGUGAAAUGCGUAGAGAUCGGGAGGAAUACCAGUGGCGAAGGCGGCCUUCUGGACUGACACUGACGCUGAGGUGCGAAAGCGUGGGUAGCAAACAGGAUUAGAUACCCGUGUAGUC